CCUGCUUCAGCCUCCCAAGUAGCUGGGAUUACAGACGAACCAUCAAACAGGAAAUGCUGCUCUCCAACCUGCCCUUGCAGCCAAGGUCCAAAGAAGUGAUCAUUAGUGGAACUUCUCCCUGGACUCUCAGUCAAAACCCUUAAUGAGUAACCUCAGUCUCCAUAAUCUGUCCAAAAUUGAUGGCAGCCUUAAAGUCUAUUCUUGGCUUUCAGAGUCUGCUGACCAAGGAA